CCUACGGGUGGCAGCAGUGAGGAAUAUUCGUCAAUGGACGAGAGUCUGAACCAGCCAAGUAGCGUGAAGGAUGACUGCCCUAUGGGUUGUAAACUUCUUUUAUAAAGGAAUAAAACGAGGCACGUGUGCCUUUUUGCUUGUACUUUAUGAAUAAGGAUCGGCUAACUUCGUGCCAGCAGCCGCGGUAAUACGGAGGAUCCGAGCGUUAUCCGGAUGUAUUGGGUUUAAAGGGAGCGUAGAUGGGUUGUUAAGUCAGUUGUGAAAGUUUGCGGCUCAACCGGAAAAUUGCAAUUGAUACUGGCAGUCUUGAGUACAGAUGAGGUAGGCGGAAUUCGAGGUGUAGCGGUGAAAUGCUUAGAUAUCACGAAGAACCCCGAUUGCGAAGGCAGCUUACUAAACUGUGACUGACAUUGAUGCUCGAAAGUGUGGGUAUCAAACAGGAUUAGAUACCCCUGUAGUC
rnacentral:rRNA from 1 species